rnacentral:rRNA from 1 species
GAUGAACGCUGGCGGCGUGCCUAACACAUGCAAGUCGAGCGGCAGCGAGGGGUGCUUGCACCCUGUCGGCGAGCGGCGGACGGCUGAGUAACGCGUGGGAACGUGCCCCAAAGUGAGGAAUAACUGCCCGAAAGGGUAGCUAAUACCGCAUAUUAUCUUCGGAUCAAAGGAUUUAUCAGCUUUGGGAGCGGCUCGCGUCGGAUUAGGUAGUUGGUGAGGUAAUGGCUCACCAAGCCGACGAUCCGUAGCUGGUCUGAGAGGAUGACCAGCCAGACUGGAACUGAGACACGGUCCAGACUCCUACGGGAGGCAGCAGUGAGGAAUCUUCCACAAUGGGCGAAAGCCUGAUGGAGCAACGCCGCGUGCAGGACGAAGGCCUUCGGGUUGUAAACUGCUUUUAUAAGUGAGGAAUAUGACGGUAACUGAUGAAUAAGGAUCGGCUAACUACGUG